UGUUAAAAGUUUCAUCAAUGUCUACUAUUAAAAUUUAAUGUGGCUAAUAAAAUAAUUAGAUAGUUACAUGUGUUGUGUCACAUGUACAUCAUGCUAACAUAGGUACAAGGACCCGUUAUUAACAUUAAAUAUAAAUGAAAUUGUCAAUA
rnacentral:pre_miRNA from 1 species